CGGGAGGAUUGCGUCGGCCGGCAGAGGUGGGUGCUCCACGCGCCCGAGCCGACCCCUUCCCCCCCCACGCUCGGCUCCCGGCUCUGUCCAGCCGCCCCCGACCGCCCAAGGCGACUGGACAGCUCCUCCCGGGCCCCCCGGGGGCUUGUUCUCGUUAACGCCGGCCGUGGGAUCGCGUCUGGGACACAGCCUGGGGGCCGGGACGCCCAGGUCCCGCCGGGGUGCUGGCGCCCCCGCUCCCAUUUCACCCCACGACACGCGUUCCCUCGCCUCCUUCUCACGCACCCCACCCCCAGCUUCCACCACCUUGUAAUCUGUGUGUCCUGCUUUAAUCUUGGCGCGGUGGGGGGGGGGGGGGGAGGGGGCACGGGCACUAACUCCAGGUCACUUUGACCCCACGCCUUAGCACGUAGUAGGCACCCAGGAAUCAAUGUGGAGUGACUCAGAGAGGAAGACUGGGAAGGAGACCUGAGGAGUGCCCCGUCCAGCUCCUUGGACGGACGUAGGACCCAGGAGCAGGGUUUAUCUUCAACUGCUUUGUCACUGCGAAGUCUCCGGCAGGAGUCGGUCAGCGAAUCUACAUCAUCCCGGGGAAGAAUUUGACCCCACCAGACGAGGCAGAAAGAACAGGACUGCCACUUCUUCGGCAGCUCUGCUCGGUUCAGUCUCGGAAUAAGAAAUAACAAUUACAUCACGAGGCCGGGGCGGCAGCGCUGUGGAGCCUCUCGGUUUCCUGCAGCUUAAUCUCGCUGAACCCGCCUCUGAACUGGGGAGGGGGGGAGGCACAUAUGGAUUGGUGGCGAGAGAAAGUAGAGAGAGGAGAGAGUCCUACAAAACCAUAAUCCCCCCUCCUUCUCCUUGCAUUUGCUGUUUUAAAAUCUUAUCCUCAACGCUCCCCCAGACAUCUAACUAGAACUAUUAACACCCCUUCAACACCUCCCCAGAUGUCAGGUUUCUUUUUGACUCUAGCAUCUAGCGUUUAGUAACUCGCCAUGAAAAAAAGUACCGGGGGGAAAUGAGUGCCGUUGCUGAAAUUGUCUUUUGCCUGAUACAAAAACGCUGAAGUACAGCUUAGCCUCACCCUUAACUCGGAAAUGGCAUGCCUGUGUUAAAACACUUAAUACACAAAACAAAUGAGAGGAUGAGGCACUCCAUUCCUAUGUAUAGGUUUUCAAAUCCUUAAGAAUUCGAUAACAUUGGAAAAUAGAGUUGCCAGCACACUUAAGAAAACCACUAUCCUAGUCAUGAAACAGUAGUCUAUGCCUGUUAUGUAAUGGCUGUAUUGUGCAUUUAAAAUGUCUUUUAACCUUUAAAAAUAUGAAUGAGUGUUCUGUAACACCUCCAAAUCUUAAAAGUGAAAGCAAUGCUUAAUAAAUGCACCACCUAGCACAGUGCUGGGCACAUGGUAGGAUCAUUUUGCUUAAUGGUGAUGGUGCAUUUUAGAACAAUUAUUUUACAUCACCCUAGUGAUUCAACUGUGUAAUCUGUUGCCAUCUAACACAGUUUAAACUUCAUGUGGUAGCUUCUUAUGCGUGCAUAUACAACAGUUUGAAAUUUGCUCAAGGCCACUGUGUAAAGUCAGCUAUUCUACAGUACAUCAUUUAUCCACUUGGUGAAAGUGAACUGUUCUAAUUAAGUGAUGAUCAUCAGAAUUGGAAUCUGGCCCUUUAAGGAGUCAAACUUAAAAAACAAACAAAAAACUGUUAAGUGAUAUACACAGAUUUUCUAAAAUGGGUUAUAUAUAUAUAUAUAUAUUUUUUUUUUUUCUUGAGCAAUAUAUUGGACUUUCUUUGGCUUUUUUCUUGGAAAUUCAGGGUUAAUUUUAUUAAAAGUGUUUAUUGCAGUAAGUUGUAGCAGAUUCAACAAAAACAUUCUAUAUCAGGCUUCUUCCUAGUUGUUAAGAGAUGCUCCCAGGAGGUAUAUAAGCUAUCAAUCGCUGCACUGAAGGACUGUAUGACUUAGUGAUUAUCUCUGCUCUUUGUAGUUUCUCGUCCCCUUCACUAACUGACAAUCUGUUGUCCUUUUUCUCUGUUGCCACAGCAUGCUGCCUCCAAUAUUUUCCUCCUCUUCUCAUUGGCAGUGUCUGGUCUAGUGCAGACUGGGAAUCUAGAUAGCCUCACUUGUCACAAUUCAGUAAAGUAAAACUAAGUAGGUCCUAGGUAAGAAACUGAUGUGCUCACCAAGGAGUAAGACACAUGAACCUUAAUGCAUAGACUUAGGGACAGUUAUUCAAACUACUCAAAUGUUGCUUUGAAAAGUAUUCUUUUGGGGUGCCUGGGUGGCUCAGUCGGUUGAGUGUCUGACUUCGGCUCAGGUCAUGACCUCACAGCUCCUGAGUUCGAGCCCCGUGUAGGGCUCUGUGCUGACACUUCGAGCCUGGAGCCUGCUUCAGGUACUGUGUCUCCCUCUCUCUCUGCCCCUAACCCACUCGCAUUCUGUCUCUGUCUCUCU
rnacentral:lncRNA from 1 species